GACGAACGCUGGCGGCGUGCUUAACACAUGCAAGUCGAACGGACAGGCCUCUUUCGGGGGGUACUCGCGUGGCGAACGGGUGAGUAACACGUGAGUAACCUGCCCUUGACUUUGGGUUAACUUCCGGCAACUGGGGCUAAUACCGGAUAGGAGCUCCUGCUGCACGGUGGGGGUUGGAGAGUUUCGGCGGUUGGGGAUGGACUCGCGGCUUAUCAGCUUGUUGGUGGGGUAGUGGCUUACCAAGGCGUUGACGGGUAGCCGGCCUGAGAGGGUGACCGGCCACAUUGGGACUGAGAGACGGCCCAGGCUCCUACGGGAGGGAGCAGGGGGGAAGAUUGCACAAGGGGUGGAAGCCUGAUGCAGCAACGCCGUGUGCGGGAUGACGGCCUUCGGGUUGAAAACCGCUUUCGCACAUGACGAAGCUUUGUGUGACGGUAGUGGGUAAAGAAGCACCGGCUAACUACGUG
rnacentral:rRNA from 1 species